rnacentral:rRNA from 1 species
AUUGAAAGCUGGCGGCAUGCUUUACACAUGCAAGUCGAACGGUAACAGGCCGCAAGGUGCUGACGAGUGGCGAACGGGUGAGUAAUGCAUCGGAACGUGCCCAGUCGAGGGGGAUAACGCAGCGAAAGCUGUGCUAAUACCGCAUACGAGCUAUGGAUGAAAGCGGGGGACCGUAAGGCCUCGCGCGAUUGGAGCGGCCGAUGUCAGAUUAGGUAGUUGGUGGGGUAAAGGCUCACCAAGCCAACGAUCUGUAGCUGGUCUGAGAGGACGACCAGCCACACUGGGACUGAGAAACGGCCCAGACUACGACGGGAGGGAGCAGUGGGGAAUUUUGGACAGUGGGCGCAAUCCUGAUCCAGCAAUGCCGCGUGCAGGAAGAAGGCCUUCGGGUUGUAAACUGCUUUUGUACGGAACGAAAAGGUUUGGGUUAAUACCCUGGGCCGAUGCCGGUACCGUAAGAAUAAGCACCGGCUAACUACGUGCCAGCAGCCGCCGUAA